rnacentral:rRNA from 1 species
ACAACGACUCUCGGCAACGGAUAUCUCGGCUCUCGCAUCGAUGAAGAACGUAGCGAAAUGCGAUACUUGGUGUGAAUUGCAGAAUCCCGUGAACCAUCGAGUCUUUGAACGCAAGUUGCGCCCGAAGCCUUCUGGCCGAGGGCACGUCUGCCUGGGUGUCACGC